rnacentral:rRNA from 1 species
UACGUAGGGGGCAAGCGUUGUCCGGAAUCAUUGGGCGUAAAGAGCGUGUAGGCGGCCCGGUAAGUCCGCUGUGAAAGUCCAGGGCUCAACCCUGGAAUGCCGGUGGAUACUGUCGGGCUAGAGUCCGGAAGAGGCGAGUGGAAUUCCUGGUGUAGCGGUGAAAUGCGCAGAUAUCAGGAGGAACACCGACGGCGAAGGCAGCUCGCUGGGACGGUACUGACGCUGAGACGCGAAAGCGUGGGGAGCAAACAGG